rnacentral:rRNA from 1 species
CACGUAGGGGACGAGCGUUGUCCGGAAUCAUUGGGCGUAAAGCGCGCGUAGGCGGCCCGGAAAGUCGGAUGUGAAAUCCCGGGGCUCAACCCCGGGCCUGCAUCCGAUACUACCGGGCUGGAGGCAGGUAGGGGAGAUCGGAAUUCCUGGUGUAGCGGUGAAAUGCGCAGAUAUCAGGAGGAACACCCGUGGCGAAGGCGGAUCUCUGGGCCGUGCCUGACGCUGAGGCGCGAAAGCUAGGGGAGCGAACGGG